UGACGCGCAUGAAUGGAUUAA
rnacentral:ncRNA from 2 species